rnacentral:rRNA from 1 species
CCCUAGAAGAAAUCUAAGGUGUUACCUGCUCAAUGACCUAUAAAAAUAACCCUAAACAGAUUAAAGUAGGCUUAAAAGACGCAGUAACCUGACUGUGAUAAAGUAGCAUAAUCACUUGCCAUUUAAUUGAUGGAUAGUAUGAACGGUCAAACGAAUCCCUCACUUUCUAAAAAAGAGAAGUUAYGAAACUAAAGUAAUAGUUAAGAUGCUAUUUAAAAUUAUAAGACGAAAAGACCCUAUAGAGCUUAACUACGUAUUUCUUUUAAAAAAAAGAACACMCUUCCUGAAUAAAGGAGAAGGUAGUUUAGUUGGGGAGACGACCUUUUAAAAACAACAARGGUAAACUAUWUUUAAAAAAAAAUUUAUUGUAUAACCCAUAAAUUUAACAAUUACAAAAGUAGGUUWUAAUGACCCGUUAAAAUGCAGUAACACACUUAACGAUCAAUAAAUAAAAGUUACCUUAGGGAUAACAGAACAAUCUUGUUUUAGAGACCCAAUCCAAAACAAGGUUUAUCACCUCUAUGUUGAAUUAAGAUAACCUAGUGGAGCAAAAGCCACUAAAGGUAGGUCUGUUCGACCUUUAAAU